AACGAACGCUGGCGGCAGGCCUAACACAUGCAAGUCGAGCGGGAACUCCGGGGUUAGGGGCGGAGGGGGGGGUAAGGCGGGGGAACGUGCACGUGUCUAAGGAAUAGCCGAGGGAAACAGAGCGUAAUACCGUAGACGCCCUUAGGGGGAAAGAGGUAUCGGUAUAGGCUCGGCGCGGGUUGGUUUAGGUGGUUGGUGGGGUACUGGCCUACCAACACGUCGUUCCAUAGCUGGUUUGAGAGGAUGCUCAGCCACACUGGGACUGAGACACGGCCCAGACUCCUACGGGAGGGUGCGGUGUGUUAUCUUAGGCACUGAGGCCUACCCUGAUCUCGCCACGCCGCGUGAGUGGUGAAGGCCUUAGUGUUGUACUGCUCUUUCAGCUGGGACGUUAGUGACGGUACCAGCAGAAGAAGCCCCGGCUAACUACGUG
rnacentral:rRNA from 1 species